GCCUAGUUAGCUUGGUUGGUAGCGCGUCUGCCUUGUAAGCGCUACGCCGCGGGUUCGAUUCCCGCCCGGGGCG
rnacentral:tRNA from 1 species